rnacentral:rRNA from 1 species
GACAGAGGUCCCGAGCGUUAGGCGGAAUCACUGGGCUUAAAGCGUGUGUAGGCGGACUUCUAAGUACCUUGUGAAAUCCCACGGCUCAACCGUGGAACUGCUUGGUAUACUGGUUGUCUUGGGCCAUCUAGGGGCUAGCGGAACAAACGGUGGAGCGGUGAAAUGCGUAGAUAUCGUUUGGAACGCCAAUGGUGAAAACAGCUAGCUGGGGAUGUGCCGACGCUGAGACACGAAAGCCAGGGGAGCGAACGGG